AGUUGAUCAUGGCUCAGGAUGAACGCUAGCUACAGGCUUAACACAUGCAAGUCGAGGGAAACGACAUCGAAAGCUUGCUUUUGAUGGGCGUCGACCGGCGCACGGGUGAGUAACGCGUAUCCAACCUACCCUUGUCCAUCGGAUAACCCGUCGAAAGGCGGCCUAACACGAUAUGCGGUUCUCAGCAGGCAUCUAAGGUGAACGAAAUGUGAAGGAGAAGGAUGGGGAUGCGUCUGAUUAGCUUGUUGGCGGGGUAACGGCCCACCAAGGCGACGAUCAGUAGGGGUUCUGAGAGGAAGGUCCCCCACAUUGGAACUGAGACACGGUCCAAACUCCUACGGGAGGCAGCAGUGAGGAAUAUUGGUCAAUGGGCGAGAGCCUGAACCAGCCAAGUAGCGUGCAGGAUGACGGCCCUAUGGGUUGUAAACUGCUUUUAUAAGGGAAUAAAGUGGGUCUCGUGAGACUUUUUGCAUGUACCUUAUGAAUAAGGACCGGCUAAUUCCGUG
rnacentral:rRNA from 1 species